rnacentral:rRNA from 1 species
GAAACCGUGUACGUACAAGCAGUGGGAGCCCCAUCACUCAAGUGCCUCGGCAAUUGAGUGAGGGUGUAAAACCAUCACAAUAACAGCGCAGGAUUUGCCAACAAGAUUGGCUGAUUUUUUCAAGCCGCAGCGCAGUGGACAUCGAAGUCCAUGAGCAGCGGAAGUUAAAAAAUCGGGCAAGAUUGGCCGCAAAGCCAAGCGGGACAUUUGAGGAUGGGGUGACUG